rnacentral:rRNA from 1 species
CCUACGGGAGGCUGCAGUGAGGAAUAUUGGUCAAUGGGCGUAAGCCUGAACCAGCCAAGUCGCGUGAGGGAUGAAGGCUCUAUGGAUCGUAAACCUCUUUUAUACGGGAAUAAAGUGCGGGACGUGUCCGGUUUUGUAUGUACCUUAUGAAUAAGAAUCGGCUAACUCCGUGCCAGCAGCCGCGGUAAUACGGAGGAUCCGAGCGUUAUCCGGAUUUAUUGGGUUUAAAGGGAGCGUAGGCGGCUUUUUAAGUCAGCGGUGAAAUGUUGUGGUUCAACCAUAGAAUUGCAGUUGAAACUGGGGGGCUUGAGUAUGGUUGAGGCAGGCGGAAUGCGUGGUGUAGCGGUGAAAUGCUUAGAUAUCACGAAGAACCCCGAUUGCGAAGGCAGCCUGCCAAGCCAUGACUGACGCUGAUGCACGAAAGCGUGGGUAUCAAACAGGAUUAGAUACCCUGGUAGUC